CUGGAAUGUCGGUAAUAUAAUAAUAAUACUAUUAUUAUUAAUAAAUAGUUCAUUAACCAUUCUUUAUACGCCCUUAAAGAAAGCAACCUGAACCCCUAAAAUUUGAUAUCGCUUUUGCUUUUUCCCAACAAAUAAUUGGCAUGAGAUUACCAAAUAGUAAAAUCCAUCAGUUUAAUGAAUUCGAUUCAUGGGCUAAAAGU